GACGAACCGUGCGAACGUUAUUCGGAAUUACUGGGCGUAAAGCGUGCGCAGGCGGCUUUGCAAGACAGAUGUGAAAUCCCCGGGCUUAACCUGGGAACUGCAUUUGUGACUGCAUGGCUGGAGUGCGGCAGAGGGGGAUGGAAUUCCGCGUGUAGCAGUGAAAUGCGUAGAUAUGCGGAGGAACACCGAUGGCGAAGGCAAUCCCCUGGGCCUGCACUGACGCUCAUGCACGAAAGCGUGGGGAGCAAACAGG
rnacentral:rRNA from 1 species